UCCCAGCUGCAUGUCAACACUGCAAAGUGAGCGGUAGCAUCUUUUGGAGGGAGAGUCGUGCAGCAGAGCGUCCUCGGCGCGUCUCUUCGCCAUGAACGUCAGCUCCGUCGGUGCACUAAACCAAACCAGCAGAUGUUCUUUCCCCAUGCUGCUUCAAAUAAUUCCCAGAAAAAACACCACAGACCAGACAUGAUCUCAGUCUCUUCAAUAGGAGCUACAGCCCUGAUUGUAAUGAUCUACUUUCUGGCUUGCUACGUGACGUGCUGGUAUAAAAGACAAUUCAUUGGCUUCCUGUUCGAUCAGCCUAAGACUGUGACUGUCAUACUUGGCCUUCUGCUUAUUGCCCAGGUACCAUCCACUCUAAGUAAUGUGACAUGUCAGUUAUUAAGCUAUUAACACUGGUUACAAAACUGAACUUUGCCUCUAAAAUGGAACAUUUAAUUUAAAAGUUUCCAUUGGCUACAUCAUCCAGUAAAUGGCAUGCAGCUGUGGUUGUCAUGCUAUAUAUGUGUGUAUGUGUGUGUGUGCAUCUGUUAGUCAUACAUAUACAAUUCAAGUUACGUGGGAGCCAGUGGGAGGUCAGCUCCCAUAAGGAUGGUCUGAGCUCCCAUGGAAGCAGUAAAAUCAUGCUGGGGUCACUAAUUCAUUUAUCAACAACCAUUAUUUUGAAUUACAA